GUGGGGAAUAUUGGACAAUGGGCGCAAGCCUGAUCCAGCCAUGCCGCGUGAGUGAUGAAGGCCUUAGGGUUGUAAAUCUCUUUUGUCCGGGAAGAUAAUGACUGUACCGGAAGAAUAAGCCCCGGCUAACUUCGUGCCAGCAGCCGCGGUAAUACGAAGGGGGCUAGCGUUGUUCGGAAUCACUGGGCGUAAAGCGCACGUAGGCGGACCAUUAAGUCAGGGGUGAAAGCCUGGAGCUCAACUCCAGAACUGCCUUUGAUACUGAUGGUCUCGAGUAUGGAAGAGGUUGGUGGAACUGCGAGUGUAGAGGUGAAAUUCGUAGAUAUUCGCAAGAACACCGGUGGCGAAGGCGGCCAACUGGUCCAUUACUGACGCUGAGGUGCGAAAGCGUGGGGAGCAAACAGGAUUAGAAACCCUGGUAGUCC
rnacentral:rRNA from 1 species